UACGUAGGGGGCAAGCGUUGUCCGGAAUCAUUGGGCGUAAAGAGCGUGUAGGCGGCCAGAUAAGUCCGCUGUGAAAUCUCGAGGCUCAACUUCGAGCUGUCGGUGGAAACUGUCUGGCUAGAGUCCGGAAGAGGAGAAUGGAAUUCCUGGUGUAGCGGUGAAAUGCGCAGAUAUCAGGAAGAACACCCGUGGCGAAGGCGGUU
rnacentral:rRNA from 1 species